UACGUAGGGUGCAAGCGUUGUCCGGAAUUAUUGGGCGUAAAGAGCUCGUAGGCGGUUUGUUGCGUCGGCUGUGAAAUCCCGAGGCUCAACCUCGGGUCUGCAGUCGAUACGAGCAAACUAGAGUGUUGCAGGGGAGACUGGAAUUCCUGGUGUAGCGGUGAAAUGCGCAGAUAUCAGGAGGAACACCCGUGGCGAAAGCGGCUCUCUGGGCCGAUACUGACGCUGAGGAGCGAAAGCGUGGGGAGCGAACAGG
rnacentral:rRNA from 1 species